rnacentral:rRNA from 1 species
UGGUCUUGACAUAGAAAGAACUUUCCAGAGAUGGAUUGGUGCCUGCUUGCAGGAGCUUUCAUACAGGUGCUGCACGGCUGUCGUCAGCUCGUGUCGUGAGAUGUUGGGUUAAGUCCCGCAACGAGCGCAACCCUCGUCGUUAGUUGCUAACAGUUCGGCUGAGAACUCUAACGAGACUGCCUACGCAAGUAGGAGGAAGGUGAGGACGACGUCAAGUCAUCAUGGCCCUUACGACCAGGGCUACACACGUGCUACAAUGGGGUAUACAAAGAGCAGCAAUACGGUGACGUGGAGCGAAUCUCAAAAAUGCCUCCCAGUUCGGAUUGUAGUCUGCAACUCGACUACAUGAAGUUGGAAUCGCUAGUAAUCGUAGAUCAGCUAUGCUACGGUGAAUACGUUCCCGGGUCA